rnacentral:rRNA from 1 species
GAUGAACGCUGGCGGCGUGCCUAAUACAUGCAAGUCGAGCGAACAGACGAGGAGCUUGCUCCUCUGACGUUAGCGGCGGACGGGUGAGUAACACGUGGAUAACCUACCUAUAAGACUGGGAUAAUUUCGGGAAACCGGAGCUAAUACCGGAUAAUAUAUUGAACCGCAUGGUUCAAUAGUGAAAGACGGUUUUGCUGUCACUUAUAGAUUGCUACGCGCCGCAUUCGCUAGUUGGUAAGGUAACGGCUUACCAAGGCAACGAUGCGUAGCCGACCUGAGAGGGAGAUCGGCCACACUGGAACUGAGACACGGUCCAGACUCCUACGGGGGGCAGCAGUAGGGAAUCUUCCGCAAUGGGCGAAAGCCUGACGGAGCAACGCCGCGUGAGUGAUGAAGUUCUUCGGAUCGUAAAACUCUGUUAUUAGGGAAGAACAAAUGUGUAAGUAGCUAUGCACGUCUUGACGGUACCUAAUCAGAAAGCCACGGCUAACUACGUG